UGAGGCGGACCACGACCCACACAUGAUGAUGAACCCAGGUCCACCGCACGACGGCAGGCCACAGAACUGCCACCCACCCUCUGAUUGGACAUCCACCCCCUCCAAGGCCCCUUCAUCACCAACAAGGGUGAGUGCCUCCCUGGAGAUCGUACCCCAUUGUACCAGCAGGUGUUUGAUUAGCCACUAACAAACAUUUCCAUUAGUGACACCACAAGUGGUGCUGAUGGAUCCCCCUGCCGGCCCUACCCAGUGGGAAAGCAUGUGCCCCAUUUUAUCGAAGCGUUAGCUUGUGCACUCCAGAGCGAACGCUCCAGAUUUCACCACUUCCCCUGUCGCUGUUCUCCCCCCAGGUCCCCCGCCACGCCCCCAUCAGCCCCACAGAGGAGGAGGUCCAGUGGGAGGAGGAGGACCCAGACACUGGGACAGAAACUUCCGGCCCCGUGAGGAUCACCCCCCACCCCGGAUGCAGGUGGCCCCCUUCCCGCCCAACGCCGCGCCCCCGGUUUACGCCGCCCCUGCGCUCUAUCCCCCCUCCCCCCCCAGAUCUACCCGCCCCCCUACUCCACGGGACCCGGCCUCAUCCCGCCGCCCCCCGUCGGCUACCAGCCCCAGCCUAUGUACCCCCCCGGGAUGCAGGGCAUCAACCCCCCCUGGAUGCCCCCGAACAACCAGCACCCCCUCGGGCCCCACCCACCCCCCCUCAACCAGCCCCACCUCUCCAAGGAGGAGUUCUACCGGCAGCACCAUCUCCAUCACCACCCCGACGAGGUAACCUCCAAGCUUGACGAGUUCACUAAAGACUUCCACAAAGAGCUGAUGAAGUACUGCAGUGCGCCAAAGAGACGCAGACGGUCUUACACCAGGUCGCGGACCUACAGCCGCUCGCCGUUCAGCCGCUCUCCCUUCUCCAGGUCCAGGUCCCGGUCCCGGUCGUACUCCUACACCCCAAGCCGCUCGCGCUCGCGCUCCCGCAACCGGUCCUACCCCCGCUCGCCCUUCUCCCGGCGCAACGGGCGCAGCUACGGCCGCACGCGCUCCCGUUCCCGCUCUCGCUCCAGGCCGUACACGUACCGUCGGUCGGGCUCUCCGCGCUCUCCCGGGCCGUACCGCCCCCCCCGGUGGUCAAGGCUGGGACGGCGCAGACGGAGCCGCCUUCAGGUCCAGGUCCCGUUCCCGCACCCCUGGCGGCUUCCGGAGGGUCAGUCCCGGCGGCGGUGGAGGCGCUGGCGGAGGCGGUCGCAAACCCCCGCCGCGGGAGCCGCCACCCUUCGACGGGCGGGACAUGAGCCCCGGAACCCACGAGCGCUGGGAAAGGGACGGCUACAGGCAGUGGGAGAGGGACUACCGGGACUACUACAGUACUACAGGGACUACGACGGCCAGCCCCCGCACCACAGGGCGCACGGCAGCCGGGACCGGGAGAGGGACCGGCUCUCGCCCCCCGCCCAGAGACUACUCCCCCCAGGGCAAGAGCCGGAGGGUGGCGGGACGGCGACCGAGGCGCGCCCCUCGUUCCACCAGCCCUCCCUCCUCCUCCGGGACCAAGAGCAGCAGCAAGAGCAGCAAGUCCAAGAAAGUGAAGAAGAAGAAGAACGGGGACGAGUCGGAGGGCGGCCCACCAGUCCAUGGACCGAGGGGACGCCACCCCCGUCCGGGACUGAGCCCAUGGACGACGCGCCCAACCUCUCCAAGACGCCCCCCAGCUCCUCCAAGAGCAGCUCCGCCGCAAGGCCGCCACCAGCAAGAGCUCCUCCUCCUCUGGUCCGCCAAGACCUCGUCCAAGUCAGGGAAGACCUCGUCCGACAAGAGCAAGAAGGACAAGACAUCCAAGGUCAGGUCAAGGUGAAAAACCGAGGCCGCGAAGGUCAAAGGUAA
rnacentral:lncRNA from 1 species